rnacentral:rRNA from 1 species
GAUGAACGCUGGCGGCGUGCCUAAUACAUGCAAGUCGAGCGAACGGACGAGAAGCUUGCUUCUCUGAUGUUAGCGGCGGACGGGUGAGUAACACGUGGAUAACCUACCUAUAAGACUGGGAUAACUUCGGGAAACCGGAGCUAAUACCGGAUGAUAUUUUGAACCGCAUGGUUCAAAAGUGAAAGACGGUCUUGCUGUCACUUAUAGAUGGAUCAGCGCUGCAUUAGCUAGUUGGUAGGUAACGGCUUACCAAGGCAACGAUGCAUAGCCGACCUGAGAGGGUGAUCGGCCACACUGGAACUGAGACACGGUCCAGACUCCUACGGGAGGCAGCAGUAGGGAAUCUUCCGCAAUGGGCGAAAGCCUGACGGAGCAACGCCGCGUGAGUGAUGAAGGUCUUCGGAUCGUAAAACUCUGUUAUUAGGGAAGAACAUAUGUGUAAGUAACUGUGCACAUCUUGACGGUACCUAAUCAGAAAGCCACGGCUAACUACGUG